rnacentral:lncRNA from 1 species
AACGCUCUGUAUUUUUUCUGAUUUUAAUUAUUUUUCUUUUAUUAUUUUUAAUUUCUAUUUCUUUUAAAAUUCAUAGUAAUUUCAUUUUUUAUCCAAAAAAUUCCAAAAUAAUUUCUAAAAUUCUCUUUUAUUUUUCUUCAUCUGAUUUUUAUUCUUUCACAUUUUAUUUCACUGAUUUUCUACUUUUCUUGAAUUUUAUCUUUUCUCUUUUGUUUUAAUUGGUUUAAAAAUACUUUUCUACAUUUUUAAAUUCUG